GCGAGCGCCUCCUGAACUAUCGGGCACUAUAGGGGAAACUCUAUGAGUGAAUGUAGUUAAAUUCGGUGAACCCUAAAAAGAUAAGAAAAGGUAGGAUUAGUUGUCUUUUGACCACAAUGCUGACACUUCAUGGGAAUACCGAGCCAAGCCUGAGCAUGAAACUAUGUCAUUUCUUAUGCAGGUCUGCUCAGGAAGGUGUAGAGACUAGAAAGCUACCACCUAAGGGCUUAAAGCCUACGGUGAAGGUAUAGUCCAGAGAGUGGGGAAACUCACAC
rnacentral:ncRNA from 1 species